UAGCUCAGCGGCAUAAGCGCCUGCCUUGGAAGCAGGCAGUCAUGAGUUCGAUCCCCAU
rnacentral:tRNA from 1 species